CUUUGCUAUCCUAAGAGUGAAGGGGGGAUGUAAUUCCGUGAUCAAUAUUCCUUUAAUCUAGCAAUGCUCUCUAAGCAAUGUUGGAGAUUAAUAAAUAACCCGGAGUCGUUAUGUGCAAGAGUACUAAAGGCAAAGUAUUUCCUCAAUGGGAGCUUAUUACAUGCCACUCUUAAGAAUGGGGCUUCUUUUACAUGGCAAAGCAUUAUGAAGGGCUUAGAGACCUUCAAACUGGGAUACAUCCGGCAGAUUGGGACUAGAGAGCAAGUGAACAUUUGGAGGGAUCCCUGGAUUCCUAACAGUGCAGAUAGGAGGGUGAUUACCCCGCGUGGACAAACUGUCCUAACCACUGUUAAUGACUUCAUCGACCCCACAAGUGGCAAUUGGGACGAAGAUUUAAUCACUUCUAUUUUCAACCCUGUUGAUGUCCGUAGAAUUCUGGAAAUUCCACUUAACUACAACGCCUUUGAGGAUUUUAUAGCGUGGCAUCCAGAUUGCAGAGGUAUUUUUUCAGUCCGUUCAGCUUAUCACACUCAAUGGUUUCAAACUUUCCGGACACAUGCAAAUGGGCUAGCGCAGCCAGGAAGGUCUAGUACCCCAGCUAUUUGGAGUACAUUGUGGAAGCUUCAAAUCCCAUGUAAAAUUCAAAUUUUUUGUUGGCGGGCACUCCAUGGAAUUUUACCUCUAAAGUCCAUAAUCACUAAUAGGCAUGUCGGUUCAGAUGGAGCUUGCCCCAUUUGUCACUGAGCGGCUGAACAUGUAAAUCAUCUUCUUUUUGAAUGUUCCUAUGCUACAGAACUUUGGUCACGCCUAGGAAUAUUGGACUACAUCAAUGAAGUGAAAUUGGUUAACCGUUCUGGGUCGAUCGUCUUGGAGUAUAUCCUCUUAGCUCCAGCAAGACAAGUGCCGCUCAAGCCCAACCUGGAUGUAAAGCAACUUAUCAUGGUCGGAGGAUGGUACCUCUAA
rnacentral:rRNA from 1 species